rnacentral:rRNA from 1 species
UAGGGAAUAUUGCGCAAUGGGCGAAAGCUUGACGCAGCAACGCCGCGUGAAGGAUGAAGGCCUUCGGGUCGUAAACUUCUGUCGGGUGGGAAGAAGGUUUAUCGGUUAAGAGCUAAUAAACUUGACGGUACCACCAGAGGAAGCCCCGGCUAACUCCGUGCCAGCAGCCGCGGUAAUACGGAGGGGGCAAGCGUUAUUCGGAUUUAUUGGGCGUAAAGGGCGUGUAGGCGGCUUGAUAAGUCAAAGGUGAAAUCCCUCGGCUCAACCGAGGAACUGCCUUUGAAACUGUCUCGCUAGAGUCCGGGAGAGGGUAGCGGAAUUCCCAGUGUAGCGGUGAAAUGCGUAGAUACUGGGAGGAACACCGGUGGCGAAGGCGGCUACCUGGACCGGUACUGACGCUGAGGCGCGAAAGCUUGGGGAGCAAACAGGAUUAGAUACCCCCGUAGUCC